GGUGCUAUAGUGUAGUGGUUAUCACUCGGGAUUUUGAUGUUGUUGUGCAGACUUUCCCGAAACCCAGGUUCGAACCCUGGUAGCACCU